UGUCUUCGGGGCGGGGUGAGAUUCCCCACCGGCGGUAUAGCCCGCGACCGCGCUUUAAGCGCGCUGAGCCUGUGAAAUUCAGGCGCCGACGGUAUAGUCCGGAUGGUAGAAGACG
rnacentral:ncRNA from 1 species